CGAGGGGUGCAAGCGUUGCUCGGAAUUAUUGGGCGUAAAGGGCAAGUAGGUGGUCUCAUUUGUCUGGGGUGAAAGCCUUGAGCUUAACUCAAGAAGUGCCCCGGAGACGGUGAGACUCGAGUAUUGGAGAGGGUCGUGGAAUUCCCGGUGUAGCGGUGAAAUGCGUAGAGAUCGGGAGGAACACCAGAGGCGAAGGCGGCGACCUGGACAAUUACUGACACUCAACUGCGAAAGCGUGGGGAGCAAACAGGAUUAGAUACCCUGGUAGUCCACGCCGUAAACGAUGGGAACUAGGUUUGGCGGGUCUUGACCCCUGCCGAACCGGAGCUAACGCAAUAAGUUCCCCGCCUGGGAAGUACGGUCGCAAGACUA
rnacentral:rRNA from 1 species